rnacentral:lncRNA from 14 species
AUGUAUCAGGAGAAGAACUGCUUCCAUCUAGGAGGGCUGGAUGCAGUCUCCAAGUCUGAUGACAGCCCAGAGUCCUUCAAGACAUCUACAGCUGACAUUCCAGGACAAUGUUGUGAUGGCAUGAAAGAGCUCAGAGGGGGUGCUGUAAACAUUGCCACUUUUCAGAGGCCCAGAAACUGUGAUUGCAAAAAAGGCCUUAUGGCAAGUGUGCAUUAA